CUUUUGUCAUAUUACACUACCAAGACUUGGCAUGGUUACAUUAGACCCCCUUGUUCACGUGCAAAGUUAUAGUUUUUUGUUUGCUUCCUCCAUAACUCAAUACUAGUAAUUUUCUUCUAUAUAAUAUCAUCAAUCUUUGUACCAAAUUCUUUACCCUAUCCUAAUUGUCUCUCACCAACAACCAACAACAACAAAAAAAGAUGGAGUCUUCAAAGACCAAAAUAACAACUCUUUCUUUCAUCUUCAUACUUGUCAUUUCUUCACUAACUCCCAUUCUUGGUUGUGGUCAUUGCAAAAACCACAAGAAAAAGCCUAUUAUAGUUAGUGCACCACCACCACCAAUAGAGGAUGCUACUACUUGUCCAAUUGAUACUAUUAAGCUUGGUGCUUGUGUUGAUCUUCUUGGUGGGCUUGUUCAUAUUGGGAUUGGUAAUCCUGUUGUUAAUGGAUGUUGUACAAUUAUUCAAGGACUUGUCGAAAUUGAAGCUGCUGUUUGUCUUUGUACAACUCUUAAACUUAAGCUUUUGAAUCUUAACCUUUAUGUCCCUUUGGCACUUCAACUACUUCUUACUUGUGGCAAGACUCCACCUCCUGGCUACACUUGCUCUUUGUAGACUUUUGAGUUAAGUUACAAGUUAAGCUUUUGGAGGAUUGUAUGGACAAAUUGGACAUGAGGGGAUGUCUGAGUUUCUGAUUAGUUUUCAUUUUCCAACCAUCUCAGAAUUAGUUACUGUAUCUUUUAAGUUGGUACUAGUUUUAGUUUUGUCUUUUGUUAAUUAGUUUAUGAAAAUUAUUUUUUAAAUUUUUUUUUUUUAAGAAGUUGAAGAGAUACAUAUGCACGAAAAAUAUAUGUUAAUAUCCUUGUUAAUAUCCUUCAUCUAUGUUGUU